AUUGAACGCUGGCGGCAGGCUUAACACAUGCAAGUCGAGCGGAGAUGAGGUGCUUGCACCUUAUCUUAGCGGCGGACGGGUGAGUAAUGCUUAGGAAUCUGCCUAUUAGUGGGGGACAACAUUCCGAAAGGAAUGCUAAUACCGCAUACGUCCUACGGGGGAAAGCAGGGAAUGUUAGGACCUUGCGCUAAUAGAUGAGCCUACGUCGGAGUAGCUAGUUGGUGGGGUAAAGGCCUACCAAGGCGACGAUCUGUAGCGGGUCUGAGAGGAUGAUCCGCCACACUGGGACUGAGACACGGCCCAGACUCCUACGGGAGGCAGCAGUGGGGAAUAUUGGACAAUGGGCGGAAGCCUGAUCCAGCCAUGCCGAGUGUGUUAAGAAGGCCUUUUGGUUGUGAAGCACUUUAAGCGAGGAGGAGGCUACCUGGAUUAAUACUCUGGGAUAGUGGACGUUACUCGCAGAAUAAGCACCGGCUAACUCUGUGCCAGCAGCCGCGGUAACAC
rnacentral:rRNA from 1 species